rnacentral:rRNA from 1 species
GACGAACCGUGCGAACGUUGUUCGGAAUCACUGGGCUUAAAGGGCGCGUAGGCGGGUGGUCAAGUCGGUGGUGAAAGCCUCCAGCUUAACUGGAGAAGUGCCGCCGAUACUGACUGCCUCGAGGAAGGUGAGGGGCAUGUGGAACUCAGGGUGGAGCGGUGAAAUGCGUAGAUAUCCUGAGGAACGCCGGUGGCGAAAGCGACGUGCUGGACCUUUUCUGACGCUGAGGCGCGAAAGCCAGGGGAGCAAACGGG